rnacentral:rRNA from 1 species
UAACGCGGGGGCAACCCUGGCGACGAGUGGCGAACGGGUGAGUAAUACAUCGGAACAUAUCCAGUAGCGGGGGAUAACCUAUCGAAAGAUGGACUAAUACCGCAUACGAUCUACGGAUGAAAGCAGGGGACCGCAAGGCCUUGCACUAUUGGAGUGGCCGAUGUCGGAUUAGCUAGUUGGUGGGGUAAAAGCUUACCAAGGCGACGAUCCGUAGCUGGUCUGAGAGGACGAUCAGCCACACUGGAACUGAGACACGGUCCAGACUCCUACGGGAGGCAGCAGUGGGGAAUUUUGGACAAUGGGCGCAAGCCUGAUCCAGCCAUGCCGCGUGAGUGAAGAAGGCCUUCGGGUUGUAAAGCUCUUUCGGUGAAGACGAAACGGUUCAUGCUAAUAACGUGAACUAAUGACGGUACUCACAGAAGAAGCACCGGCUAACUACGUGCCAGCAGCCGCGGUAAUACAUAGGGUGCAGGCGUUAAUCGGAAUUACUGGGCGUAAAGCGUGCGCAGGCGGUUUGCUAAGACAGGUGUGAAAUCCCCGGGCUUAACCUGGGAAUUGCGCUUGUAACUGGCAAGCUAGAGUGUGGCAGAGGGGGGUGGAAUUCCACGUGUAGCAGUGAAAUGCGUAGAUAUGUGGAGGAACACCGAUGGCGAAGGCAGCCCCCUGGGUUAACACUGACGCUCAUGCACGAAAGCGUGGGGAGCAAACAGGAUUAGAUACCCUGGUAGUCCACGCCCUAAACUAUGUCAACUAGUUGUCGGGGAAGAAAUUCCUUGGUAACGAAGCUAACGCGUGAAGUUGACCGCCUGGGGAGUACGGCCGCAAGGUUAAAACUCAAAGGAAUUGACGGGGACCCGCACAAGCGGUGGAUUAUGUGGAUUAAUUCGAUGCAACGCGAAAAACCUUACCUACCCUUGACAUGCUAGGAAGCCCGCAGAGAUGUGGGUGUGCCCGAAAGGGAACCUAGACACAGGUGCUGCAUGGCUGUCGUCAGCUCGUGUCGUGAGAUGUUGGGUUAAGUCCCGCAACGAGCGCAACCCUUGCCAUUAGUUGCUACAUUCAGUUGGGCACUCUAAUGGGACCGCCGGUCACAAACCGGAGGAAGGUGGGGAUGACGUCAAGUCCUCAUGGCCCUUAUGGGUAGGGCUUCACACGUAAUACAAUGGUCGGUACAGGGCUCCAACCCGCAAGGGGGAGCUAAUCCCAGAAAGCCGAUCGUAGUCCGGAUUGUAGUCUGCAACUCGACUGCAUGAAGCCGGAAUCGCUAGUAAUCGCGGAUCAGCAUGUCGCGGUGAAUACGUUCCCGGGUCUUGUACACACCGCCCGUCACACCAUGGGAGUGGGUUCCACCAGAAGUAGUUAGCCUAACCGCAAGGAGGGCGAUUACCACGGUGAGAUUCAUGACUGGGGUGAAGUCGUAACAAGGUA